AGGGUCGAACCCGUCGAGGGUCUUGCGCGAGUGAGUGAAAAGGGAAUGUCGGACGGGCUGGCUGAUCCUGAAAGGAUCGGGCGCGAGGCGGCAGCUGUCCCCGCAACUGUGAGCGGUGAGCGCCCUGCCGGAACCACUGGGUGCAGGUCAUCCGGGAAGGGGCAGGGGAGCGAUGAACCGUGAGCCAGGAGACCUGCCCUUGUCAUGUCUGACGG
rnacentral:ncRNA from 2 species